CAUUUUCAUGAGAGUUCCCCUAUUACCGAAUAUUUUGCUUGUCUGUGCUCGUUUGAUAAUUUGUUUAAUUUAAAUGCUCAUGAAAAUGCAUGGAUUUGCAGAAAAACUGACUUCUUUAACACUUACUGUAUUCAACUGUACAAACAAUGUGGCUUUGAAAUGAAGAAAAUAUAAAACUAUAAAAUAAGAAAAAUGAAGAGCAUGGGUGUGUAUGUGUGGGAGGUGAACAUGUGUGGAGGUGAUGGGCUGAAACUGCUGUGCUCCCUCCUCCAUGUGACAGAUGUCAUGGCAUACACACAGUGCAAUGUGGCAGCCACACAUCUGUGAGUGAACACAGUUGAACGUGUUACACAUAAACGAGGUUCUACUUCUACUUACAUAUAUAUAGUAGUGGUGUGUGUGACAUUUAUUGUGAGAGGGAGAGAUAAUGUGUAUAAGACAGUGACUGUAUUGUAUGUACAUGACAAUAGAUUUACUAACAUACUGCAUGGAUUGGUUUUCUUUGUACAAGAGGAAUUUUUUAAGGGUUUGAAAUGUUUGUGAAUAAAUUCUCCUUUAACAAUAUUGUCAUUAUGACACUGGAGCUGGGACAGAAGCCUUUCUGUUGAAUUGUUUAUUAUGAGCACUAGCAUAACCAACAAGCAUAUAUGUGCACAGCGGAUGCACAUGAGUGCACUACAGGCUGACGACACUGCACAGCAUGAAUUUCAGUAUCACUGUUAGAAUCAGUAGAUUCAUUAAACUUAGUAGCUGUUUAUAUUAUCAGUGUUAAUAUUGUAAAUGUUAUUACUUAGUUGGCAAGGUAACCAAUUUGUAUUCCUAGGAAAAGGGUUAGGGAAGCUGCAUUCCAAGUAUAGGUAAUCACAUGCACACUGCUGAAGAGAUGUUUAUUUACAUUAUUUUAUGGUCAGCUGUUGAGCCACCAUCAGCAGUGCCUCCUUCUAAGGGCCAACCCCAUACGUUGCCCCGAGAGCAUGAUGAGAGUGCAGCAGUGCGGGGGGGUAGUGCACCUAGCACCCCACGACCCCCUUCCACACCCGCCACCCCCACUCCUGCGUCCAGCGCAGUCCGAUGGCGUCCUGUCUCUGCCACCCUCCCACCACAGUCAUCCAUGUCACCCAUCUCUUCGCCCCCCACUCCUGCUAGUAAGGAGUCGCGACGGAGGGUGCGUUCUAGGUCGAAGUCUCCAUUCCGCUCUUUCCGCUGGAAGAAAUCCAAGUCUUCUCCAUCCGAAGCACCGGGUAGUGCAUCUGACGAUGAAUCGAAUCUGGAGAGGGCAGCAGAACGACCAAGCCCCAGUGGAGAUGAAGAUCAGCUUGAAGGCAGUUUGGUGCGUAAACAUGAAUGGGAGUCCACCACAAAGAAGGCUUCUAACCGUUCUUGGGACAAAGUGUUCCUGGUGCUGCGUGCAAACAUGUUGUUGUUCUACAAAGAUCGCAAGAGCUACCAGGCUGCUCCUGAAGUAUACUUCAGGGCUGAGGCUCCAUGUGAUGUUUCAGGUGGACAAGCAUCAAUUGCAGAUGACUACACUAAGAAGAAGAAUGUCCUGCGACUCAAAACAAAAAAGCGGGGAUUGCUUGGUGGUGCUGAGUACUUGUUCCAAGCCAAAGAUGAAGAAGAGUUGGGAGUUUGGGUUGGAGCUCUCCAAGCAGCUACGACCUCAGAAGGAUCAGCUGGUCCUUCCCGUUCCCAAACUCUCCCGGCAGGCUCUGAGAAGAAGGAUGAACCCAAACGACGCAGCUUCUUCACCCUCAAGAAGAAAUAAUAGAGUGGAUGUCCAUAUCUGUACACUCUCCCUAUUCCUUUUCUUCUUUUCUCAGCCUACACUUUCCUUUCUUUCUUCAUUCUUCAUUUCCUUUCCCAAGUCUCCUUUAGCAAUAUCUUAAGACUAUUCCAAGCCCAAUUUCAGACCCAGUGUGGAAUAAACAUGGGAGUUGGAAUGCUAGUGCUGGUCUGGGCUUGUAUUAUUGGCUGCUGUUUUAUUGCUACUGGGAUUGGAACAGAAAUCGAAUUUGCUUUGGCAUCAUCAGCUUCUCUUUAUGCAAUGUUUCCCAGGCUGGGUCUGAACAGCAGCAUCAUGAAAUCAUGUUCAUUUUCGUACAUCCAAUUUUUAUUCCCCUAACUUGAAUUACAUUAAUGAUACCACAAUUGGUAUUAUAUUUUCCCAUGGAAUAUAAAGUGUUGAUAGUUUUGUGUAAUAGCUCUGGUGGAAGAAUAUGUGAGUCUGUGCAGUUCCCAAAUGUUGUCUGCCUAGCACUGCCAUGGCUGAGUUUUCCGAUGAGUGUUCCUCUUUUUGUAGGGGAUUGUGUGUGGAAUUGUAUAUUUAGUGUUAUGUCAGAUGUCCCUUACUUUAUGAAAGUAAUGAUUUGUUAAUUUUAUCUGUCUUUAGCUGUAGUACCACAGUUUUGAUUAGAUAGCACUUAAUUGUAUUGUACAGAAAUGAUAGAAUGAUACCUAUUAUGCUGCUUUAUGCUUACAUUUUUAGACAUAUAAUAUUUCAUGUACCACUUCAUAGUUGUUCAAAUCAUUACCAGAGUAUGGAAGGCCAGCCAGUAUCAUAAUUUUUGUGAAUGGGCAAAUUCAUUCUGCUUCAAAGUGUAGGUGUGGCACAGUUAUAUUCCUUUAUAUUCUUGAAAAUUUUCAACCUCAUCUGGUCUUAUCCUACAAAACCAAGUUCACCAUCUCUACAUCAGCAAUGAAUUGAAGACUCCAGGAAUUGCUCUUGGACCAGCCACCUUCUACCAGAUGGCCAGUUUUCUCAUGUGGUCAAGAUGAACACGGUUGGGAGGUGAGCUUCCUUGUUCCCCUGGCUCUUGGUAGCAGGUGGUUGCUGGAAUGGGAGUUCCACUACAGUAUAUACUUUACUGUACUGCACUGUACAAUGAAGUUUACAAGCCGUGACUGCAAGUGUAGAUUUCCUGGCUGCCUCCCUUCAUUUUUUAUAUACUGAUAUUUGGAUUUAUGAGCUAAAAAGUUAACUAGGUCAGCAUGAUGCAACAAGAUGAUUUUCUGGUUAAUGCCCUGUCUUCUUGUUCUUCAUAAUACAGUGCUGCCAAUUUGGGUAUUUUGUGUCCUUUGACAAUCCAAGGUCAUUGAUACUGCACUGGAAUAUUAACCUUAAUGGGUACACUGAUCAUUGUCACCUGAACAAAUUUUCACAGUAACAAAUGUCACCCAUUCUAGCAUACGGAGUAGCUUGAACUCUAUUGGAUUGGUAAAUAUUGCCAAACAAACCUAAAAAAAAUUAAACAUACUGGUAGGCAUAAUUUCAGCUCAAAUAGCUGGUACUACUAAGAACUAGAGUAAUUCUUCAUGUAUUAGAACUGGAAUUGAACACUUAGUUUUGUUAAUGUAUAAAAGCAGCCUAAGGUAGAGAGAGUAUUGAGGCAUUAGUUUUCAUUGGUAUAGGGCUAGGAGCUGGAUCAUAGAUGUUUGGGCCAUGAACAAUAUUAUCUGGUAGGAAGUGUGGUUAUUGUAAGCUUGUACUUGAUAUCCCUGUUUUAAACAAAAGGGUAUAAUGAAGAGGUGGGGAUGAUUGGAUACAUGCCUAUUUAAGUUAUGCAUUACCCUUGACUGAAUGAUUGCCAGUUUUUUAAGGACACAACUGAUCCAAUAGGCAGCCUUUAUUAAGAGUACGGUAACAAUGUGGCUACAAGGCCAGCCAGAAGAAGGGAUUUAAGAAUCAAAUCUCCAUUUUUGCAAAGGCAAAGGACAAACAUUAUUCUGUAAUAUAUGAUGUUAAAAUAUGUACAGGUUACUAUAAGUGAGGGCAAUAUAUACAGUACGAUGGUCUAUGAUGCCUGUAAAAGCUUAAUUGCUUUAAUUUUUUAUUUAUGGAUGAACAUGUUGAGGUUAAUUUCUUAAAUACUUACUCUUUUAUACAUUCAUAAUCUGCAGAUUAUUAUUUUUUUCUACAGACUAUCUUAGCUUAUAAUUUCAAAAGACUUAAUUUUACACAAAAUUUAGUUUUAUUCACAUUUAGAAAAAAAUUAUGUUCAAGAUUUCUCUCCUUUCUCAUUCUAUAUUUUGAACAUACUGUACUGUAUUUCAGGCAUUAAAUAAUUUACAAUUUCUUAGCUUUUUCAUAAUUUUCUUUUUACUUUUCCUAUUUACUAUAUAAGGGAAAGGAAUACUAUUCAUGUGUUGUACUCUCCUCAGAAAUAAAUAAUGCCGUUU